rnacentral:misc_RNA from 1 species
CACAGCUGAUCACGUUUCAGCUGCCACAAUUUAAGCUGAAAUUAAUACAAAUUUGUCAAGAACGAGAGUUGCUGCAGCUUGCAAGCAUUCACCUAUUUAUUUACAAAUGGAUGUUCUAAAAGCUCAGCAGCAGUGGGACGAUCCUUUGGAUUAACUUUUAGGCAUUGCUGGAUAAAGUCUCGCGAAUCAUCUGACAGAGAAUCAGGAAGAGAAGGUAGGUGGCCUUUUCCAAUCCGAUAAAUUAAUCCACCUUUUUCCAAACCCAAAUCAGAGUAUGGAGGUUUUCUGGUUAACAUCUCCAAUACAGUGCACCCAACGCUCCAUAUAUCAGCUUGAAACCCAUACCCUCCUGCUUUCUUGUUAUUAAAAACCUCAGGAGCCAUCCAGUAUACAGUCCCUUUACAGGACUUAAUGAUUGCAUUUGAGUUGGUUACUUUUGCUAAUCCAAAAUCUGCGAUUUUCACACAUCCAUUUUCAUCCACCAAUACAUUGGCACAUUUGAUGUCCCUGUGAACAACAUUUCGCUCAUGGAGAUAAUUCAAGCCUUUCAAUAUCUGUUUCGUGUACACAGACACAUGGGAAUCCUGCAGCGGAAAUUCUUUAUAAACCUUUUCAAGGGAGCCCUUACUUACAAGCUCGAGGAAAACAUAGAGCUUCGAUUCAUCCUUACUUGUGCCAAAGUAUUUAACUAUAUUUGGAUGGGUGAGCUGACAUAAUAAAUCAACCUCUUUCUCAAGUAGGUCAAUAAUCCCUCCAUCUGGCAAUAGAAGUUCCUUCACAGCAAAGAAGAAUCCUUCAGCCGCAAAUCCUUCAUAGACUGAUCC